rnacentral:rRNA from 1 species
UGGGGAAUAUUGGACAAUGGGGGAAACCCUGAUCCAGCAAUGCCGCGUGAGUGAAGAAGGCCUUAGGGUUGUAAAGCUCUUUCGCCCGCGAAGAUAAUGACGGUAGCGGGAGAAGAAGCCCCGGCUAACUCCGUGCCAGCAGCCGCGGUAAUACGGAGGGGGCUAGCGUUGUUCGGAAUUACUGGGCGUAAAGCGUACGUAGGCGGAUGCGCAAGUUGGGGGUGAAAUCCCGGGGCUUAACCUCGGAAUUGCCCUCAAAACUGCACGUCUUGAGACCGAGAGAGGUAAGGGGAAUUCCUAGUAUAGAGGUGAAAUUCGUAGAUAUUAGGAAGAACACCAGUGGCGAAGGCGCCUUACUGGCUCGGUACUGACGCUGAGGUACGAAAGCGUGGGGAGCAAACA